GACGAACGCUGGCGGCGUGCUUAACACAUGCAAGUCGAGCGGUAAGGCUCCUUCGGGAGUACACGAGCGGCGAACGGGUGAGUAACACGUGAGCAAUCUACCCUUCACAUCGGGAUAACUCCGGGAAACCGGAGCUAAUACCGGAUACGACCACUUCAGGCAUCUGACGGUGGUGGAAAGCCCUGGCGAUGGAGGAUGAGCUCGCGGCCUAUCAGCUUGUUGGUGGGGAACGGCCCACCAAGGCAACGACGGGUAGCCGGCCUGAGAGGGUGACCGGCCACACUGGGACUGAGACACGGCCCAGACUCCUACGGGAGGCAGCAGUGGGGAAUAUUGGACAAUGGGCGAAAGCCUGAUCCAGCAACGCCGCGUGAGGGAUGACGGCCUGG
rnacentral:rRNA from 1 species